CACGUAGGGCGCAAGCGUUGUCCGGAAUUAUUGGGCGUAAAGAGCUCGUAGGUGGUUUGUUACGUCCGCUGUGAAAUCCUAGGGCUUAACCCUGGGCUUGCAGUGGAUACGGGCAGACUAGAGGUAGGUAGGGGAGAAUGGAAUUCAUGGUGUAGCAGUGAAAUGCGUAGAGAUCAUGAGGAAGACCAGUGGCGAAGGCGGGUCUCUGGACAGUUCCUGACACUGAGGCACGAAGGCCAGGGGAGCAAACGGG
rnacentral:rRNA from 1 species